rnacentral:rRNA from 1 species
UUCCCCUUCGGGGGACAAAGUGACAGAUGGUGCAUGGUUGUCGUCAGCUCGUGUCGUGAGAUGUUGGGUUAAGUCCCGCAACGAACGCAACCCUUAAGCUUAGUUGCCAGCAUUAAGUUGGGCACUCUAAGUUGACUGCCGGUGACAAACCGGAGGAAGGUGGGGAUGACGUCAAAUCAUCAUGCCCCUUAUGAUUUGGGCUACACACGUGCUACAAUGGACAAUACAAAGGGCAGCUAAACCGCGAGGUCAUGCAAAUCCCAUAAAGUUGUUCUCAGUUCGGAUUGUAGUCUGCAACUCGACUACAUGAAGCUGGAAUCGCUAGUAAUCGUAGAUCAGCAUGCUACGGUGAAUACGUUCCCGGGUCUUGUACACACCGCCCGUCACACCACGAGAGUCUGUAACACCCGAAGCCGGUGGAGUAACCAUUUAUGGAGCUAGCCGUCGAAGGUGGGACAAAUGAUUGGGGUGAAGUCGUAACAAGGUAGCCGUAUCGGAAGGUGCGGCUGGAUCACCUC